GGUCUGAUGGCGUAGUUGGUUAUCGCAUCUGUCUAACAUCCAUUGUGCACACAGAAGGUCUCCCGUUCAAGUCGGGGUCAGAUCA